rnacentral:rRNA from 1 species
GACGAACGCUGGCGGCGUGCUUAACACAUGCAAGUCGAACGGAAAGGCCCGGCUUUUGUGGGGUGCUCGAGUGGCGAAGGGGGGAGUAACACGUGAGUAACCUGCCCUUGACUGUGGGAUAACUUCAGGAAACUGGGGCGAAUACCGGAGAGGAGCUCUUGCUGCACGGGGGGGGUUGGAAAGUGUCGGCGGUUGGGGAUGGACUCGCGGCUUAUCAGCUUGUUUGGGGGGUAGGGGCUGACCAAGGCUUUGACGGGUAGCCGGCCUGAGAGGGUGGCCGGCCCCCUUGCGCCUGCGAUACGGCCCAGACUCCUACGGGCGGCAGCAGUCGGGAACAUUGCACAAUGGGCGGACGCGUGAUGCAGCGACGCCGCGUGCGGGAUGACGGCCUUCGGGUUGUAAACCGAUUUCGACUGUGCCGAAGCGUGCGUGACGGUACUGGGUAAAGAAGCACCGGCUAACUACGUG